AUUGCUUCUCAGCCUUUUGGCCAAGAUCAAAUGUAGUAAUUGUUCUUAUCAGUGUAACAUCUGAUACGUCCUCUAUCCAAGGACAAUAUCUUAAAUGGAUUUUUGGAGCAGGGAGAUGGAGUAAGAGCAUGCGUGCUCCAUGUACUUCAUGCAUCAACCUGAUAUUGUAGUACCUCCAGCAACAGUGCAACUCCU
ensembl:snRNA U2 U2 spliceosomal RNA